GAUGAACGCUGGCGGCGUGCCUAAUACAUGCCAGUCGAGCGAACAGACGAGGAGCUUGCUCCUCUGACGUUAGCGGCGGACGGGUGAGUAACACGUGGAUAACCUACCUAUAAGACUGGGAUAACUUCGGGAAACCGGAGCUAAUACCGGAUAAUAUAUUGAACCGCAUGGUUCAAUAGUGAAAGACGGUUUUGCUGUCACUUAUAGAUGGAUCCGCGCCGCAUUAGCUAGUUGGUAAGGUAACGGCUUACCAAGGCAACGAUGCGUAGCCGACCUGAGAGGGUGAUCGGCCACACUGGAACUGAGACACGGUCCAGACUCCUACGGGAGGCAGCAGUAGGGAAUCUUCCGCAAUGGGCGAAAGUCUGACGGAGCAACGCCGCGUGAGUGAUGAAGGUCUUCGGAUCGUAAAACUCUGUUAUUAGGGAAGAACAAAUGUGUAAGUAACUAUGCACGUCUUGACGGUACCUAAUCAGAAAGCCACGGCUAACUACGUG
rnacentral:rRNA from 1 species